AAGGCUUUAGCUUAAUUAAAGUAGUUGCUUUGCACGCAGAAGAUGUGGGAUAGUGUCCUGCAAGUCUUA
rnacentral:tRNA from 1 species